GGUUGCUGCCAGGCCGGACAAAGCCAGCAAUAAGAAAGCUAUGUAUCCUGUGGUGGGCAGUGAGACCUCUGGUAGAUAAGCGGGUGACCAUUCAGCCUCUUAAACAAAGCUGUGAUGGUUUUGUUGUGCAUGACUCCUAAAGUCAAAGACUAGGAAAGAGGGGAAAUGCAAUAGUAUUUCUCAAAAGCAUCCACUGGUGAAGGGGUGGCACUCUGAUGUGAGAUUGCACCUGAAUGAUGGAGGAGGGAGGUGCAAGUUCCCACAUUUCCUUCAGUUCCCCUUUCCUUUCCUGGUUAUCUGCAGCUCUUAGCCCUCACAGUCAGUGUUAGGGAUUGAAGGUGCGGUACAGAGCACCCUUGCAGAGGUGGUUUGACGCUGUAUGGCUCGUGAGAGGACAGGCAGUGGCCCAAAUGCAGAUGUCUUUGUGGAAGUGCAGCACAGUGCCCUGGAAAAGGAAGGUUUCACCUACAUUUUGGAAAAAGGGGUUGGGGGAGCUCAUUUAACACCAGCUGUCCCUGAAAGCAAGAGCUCCUCAGAGACUGCAAAUUCAGAAAUGUGGGAAGCUUAUUUGUAUCCCCCUAAAUAAAGGUGGGAGGUGAGCCACUGGCCUGAAACCAUCUUCUGAGGAACAUCCAGAUACUCAUUUCCAGCCUUUCUUUCCACAGUGACUCAUUUAGAAAGCAGUCUGCAUGUUCCAGACCUUGCAUCGUUUAGCUGCUCUAAAGCAAGAGAAAGCCCAGCGGUACCGGUGGGAUUAUACACAAGAUCGGGUGGUUUGGGAGUAGAAUUAGCCUAACAUAAAUACGUAACUAACUCUAUUUCUCUCAUGCACACUUCCUAAAUCCAGAAAGAACAAAAUUCACACUGGUUAGGUCAGAACUGGAGCCUAAAGAAUCACACUAUGAGCAGCCAGAUCUUUUGGGGCAAUAAAAGACAGUGAGAGGCUUUGCAUCCCUCCCCUCCUGAGACCUGGAGCCUGGACCCAGUGACGCCGCUUUAAAUCCUGUCUUGCACUGGAGGAGGAAAUUUGGCCUCUCCAGAGACUGCCCUUGUAUCAGUGCCAGGGCUCAGAGCUGUCGUUUUUUCCUGAGCAGUUUCAGCUGCUUGGUCUGCACCGUUACCCAUAUGCCACAGCUAGGCAAACGGGAACAAAAUCAUGAGCAUCACCCUUCACAGAAUGCCCUUAAAAAAUAUAUGUAUUACCUGUAAUGGUUGUGUUGGAAGAUGCCAAAUUACUGCACAUGAGCAAAUGCCCCUGCUCCCUAAGCUUUGUCUGUAUUGCAAUAACUAUCUUCAACACAUUCCCUGUGUCUGUAAACAGAAGACCCCAGGGACUUCGCAGAGGCUUCAGUCAUUUACAAUCCGGUCCACACAAGGCCGUGAUGCUGAGAAAGGAAGUGCAGGAUUCAAGUUUGAAGCACUGUGUAUACAAGAAGCUUCCUGUGGCUUCCCAAGAGGCUCCAACCUCCUCUGGCGUCAACGGGUUUCACAGGCUGCAUCUCUCCCGUGCACUCACACCUCGUUGCAGGAUCCCGCUCCACCUCUGCCUGGUGGCUGGUUUUACUGCUCACGGGCCACAGCAACGAAGACAAGCAGCUGACCUGGAAGCAGUGCUGUGCGCCGCAGGCAGACGCCUGGCGCCCCGCUGCUUCGGCUGUAAUCGCGCAGAGGCAGGCAAAGCUGCGGGGACCUCAUCCAGCCGGGGCACGGCGCACAACGUAACGCUCUGGGCUUGCGCUCCCAGCAACGACCCCUGGCUGCACACUUACCUCCCACUUGCUCCACUCGGGACGAGAGAGCUUCCUGCUCCUCCGAGACAGGCUUGUCUCGUAGGUGGGAGCACCGCCGUCCUGGCUCCUUCCUUUCCGUUUCCGCGGCACCACGGGCUUCGUGUUUCUCAUCACUCCGUCUUGCAGAAGCUUUGGGCGCUUAUGUCUGCUCCCAGUGUUCCCAGCACUGCCACCAGCCAGCCGCAAAUCUCUUGUAAUAACUCGGUUAUUCUUGCACCUGAUUUAUGCUGUUGGUAGCCCAGCUGCUUCACCAAGAUAAGAAGGAUAGAUACACAUCACUCACAGAGCCAUGGAAGAGAAAAUCCUCCUGCUGAAACCCUUUUAACCAUUGACAUUUAACUCUCUCUCUGCCAAAUAUGUCUCUUUAAAACCUUCCCUAGCUUUUGUGACAAAAUGUUUUUUUUCAUUUGCAAGCCAUCACCAGGACAGACAACUCCACCCUUCACGGAAGAACAAGGAUGCCUCUUCAGCAGUGAUGACUCAGCCUAAAAAUGUUAUUGAAGAGGAAACCCUUCAUCAUUUUGUAUUUUUGCAGUGAGUUUGAUCUACUUCUCUGCACAACUCCGCUGAUACCAUGAGUAAAAGGUAAAUCAGGAUGUUUAUCUAGAAACAAAUACUGACUGCAUUGUAGCCGCCUUCUACCAAUGGAGAAGAAAUUGGACACUUCUGUCUGCAACGACUUUGGCAACGAAAGGACGAGCCCCCUAGUGAAUUUUCUCUCUGCUGUUCCAAGGGCAGAUGGCAUUUCUGUUUUCCCUGUCAUCUUCACAGAACAAGUUGUGAAGAACCAUUUCCAGCUCCUACAAAUGGGCAUUUUGAUUGAAAACCUGGAACCAGCAAU